rnacentral:rRNA from 1 species
GGCACCUCGAUGUCGGCUCAUCGCAUCCUGGGGCUGUAGUCGGUCCCAAGGGUUGGGCUGUUCGCCCAUUAAAGCGGUACGCGAGCUGGGUUCAGAACGUCGUGAGACAGUUCGGUCCCUAUCCGUCGCGGGCGCAGGAAAUUUGAGAGGAGCUGUCCUUAGUACGAGAGGACCGGGAUGGACGCACCGCUGGUGUACCAGUUGUUCUGCCAAGGGCAUCGCUGGGUAGCUAUGUGCGGACGGGAUAAGUGCUGAAAGCAUCUAAGCAUGAAGCCCCCCUCAAGAUGAGAUUUCCCAUUCCGCAAGGAAGUAAGAUCCCUGAAAGAUGAUCAGGUUGAUAGGUCUGAGGUGGAAGCGUGGUGACACGUGGAGCUGACAGAUACUAAUAGAUCGAGGACUUAACCUA